CUCUUCCGUCUCUUUUCCAUGUGGCAAUUUUUUUUUCCUUUUUUUUUAAACAAAAAAAAAAGCAAUCAAAACGCGGGUGUUGCCAUUCACAUUCCAUUUUCAAAAUUUCUCCCAUUUCCCAAAUCUCCCCCUCUCCACCGUGCCCUCCCCCACCGACCGGAAAUCCGACGCCCUUGCCGACGCCGACGCCGCUCGCUCUCUCUCGGAGUCCCUCGAAACCAGCAGACCGGCGCACCGACCGGAAAUCCGAAUCCGACGCCGACGCCUAGCUCUCUCGAUCUCUCAAACCCAGCACAGACCGGACAAUCCAUCGCCGACGACGCUCUCUCUCUCUCGAACGGUCUGCUCCGGCGCCCACCGACCAGAUCUCCGACGCCUUUGAAGCCCAGCUCGCUCUUUCUUGCAACCAGCCGACCGGAUCUCCGACGAAGCCGACGACGCCAAGAUUGUAAAUUAUUACCUCAAAAUACUUCACAGAGAAAACGAUGGAGCAGGACCUUCAUCAUGAUCAAGCCCGAUGGCGUCCAGAGGGGCUUGCAUUACUCCAAACUCAGACUUGCCUCUAGGCAUUCGAUACAGAAAAAGUUCAGACAUAGAGAAUGGAGACACCGGGACAGUGGUUGGAGAAGGCGCUGGUGGAUCUAUGCCAAAGGGUGGAGACGGGUCUGGGUUUGGGUAUGGAUACCGAUAUGAUAUCGGGCUUGGUCUCCUAUUGCGAGCUUGCUCAUCCCCAAGACGCCAAAGAAUACCUUGACGAGUAACACCAAAGACAGCUUGAGGUGUGUGGGGGCAGGUUCAUGUUCCAUGAAGAGGUGUUGGGGUCAAAAUAGAACCACUCAAAGAAGUUCAGUUCGGCCAAGUUGAACUGGAAGGCCUCAUAUCAAAACUUCUGUGCAGCUGCUUGCAUAUGAGAAUUGAAAUAUCUCCUAGUGGAUUGUUUCUUCUUUGUAGAUUUAUACCUCAUUUGUGGUAAUGAUCAUGACCAUGUUUGUGAUGUUUGUCUAGGAAUUAAUCCUAGUUUUUUUUUUUUUUUAGAAAAAAAAAAAUACAAGUUCUGGAUUGGCAAAAGAUCCAAUGUAUUAAACAUGCAAGACAUGAUGCUCUAUAGGGUUUGAGGUUGGAA